rnacentral:lncRNA from 1 species
AAAUCCUGAAUACAAAGCUGCUUCCUUGAGGAGUGGAUGAGAGAAAUCGGGAUGGCCCAGUUGGUAGAAUCACAGAACAACCCCUGAUAAGAAGAGAGACUUGGAGGAUGGUAACUUGACCCAGCAAGAAAUGCCAAGGGCUGAGCUAUGUGGCUGUGGGUACAGUGCUUGCCUAGCGUGCACAAACUCUCUCCCCCACAUCACAUAAGAUGAAAUGAUGGUACAUCCCUGCAACCCAUCCCUUAGGCAGAGGCCAGAGGAUCAGCAGGAGCUCAGAAUUAUCUUCAACUACAUAAUAAGCCAGCCUGGGCUACAUGAGAGGCCAGCCUGGGCUACAUGAGACCCUAUUGAGAGACAGCUGAAAGAACUCCAAAGGUCCUGUCAUUGUUAAUCAUCUUCCUGAUGAUUGACGGGGAGCCGCUUCUUAUAGCUGAGUUGUAGAAAAGUACCCAUAGGCAAAAUGGUACAGAGUUCCUGGGCACAGCUUCAGAUACUGAGACACUGAGCCUUCAUUUACUGUCCUUGGAAACACUCUCUUAGUCACUGGGUGAAGAUGCAAAGCAUUCCAUCAGAGCUUCAAGGAGAAGGAAGGUAUGUUCAGAGGGAAAGCUGGGCAUGGUGGAGGCUGGGAGGUGACAGUAGAAAUGUGAGAGAGAAGCAGCACAAGAGCUGAGCUAGGAGAGGACAGAGUUGACAGCAACCAGGAGACAGCCCUCUCAGAGAACAGGAAACCAACCGACAACCUAGCUCUUCCUUCUUCACCGGCAGAAAUUGAGUUCAUGUCUGUUAGCUUGCUUUUCUCUCUAUUUUCAAUAUCCUCACAUCAAGCCCAAGCAAAUCACUGACUAGUUGAAAACGAAAUUAGGUUUUUAAAAACAACAGUGGGUGCACAUGUACUCAUGUUUAUAUUAAAGAGCUCAUAACAAUUUCAGAAUCCCACUGAGUCACAUAAAACAAGUGUGUUAUUAUACAGUAUGAUCAUACAGACUUUAAAAGAAGUUUAUGGUGUUUUAUCACAGCGAUAGAAAAGUAAGACACAUGGAUAGAUGGAUGGAGGCAUAGGUGGA